rnacentral:rRNA from 1 species
AGACGUAGGGGGCGAGCGUUGCUCGGAAUCACUGGGCUUAAAGGGCGCGUAGGCGGUUGUGCAAGUCUGGGGUUGAAGCCCACGGCUCAACCGUGGAAGGGCCCUGGAGACCGCACGACUUGAGUGAGCGAGGGGAGGGCGGAAUUCCCGGUGUAGCGGUGAAAUGCGUAGAUAUCGGGAGGAAGGCCUGUGGCGAAGGCGGCCCUCUGGCGCUUGACUGACGCUGAGGCGCGAAAGCGUGGGGAGCAAACAGGAUUAGAAACCCUUGUAGUCC